GACGAACGCUGGCGGCGUGCCUAACACAUGCAAGUCGAGCGGCGUUGGGAAGUGAGAAGUGCGAAGUAGGAAGUGGGAAUAGAAGAAAUUGGCGAAGCCAAUUUCAACGAAACCCACAUCAAACUUCUCGCCUCUCACUUCCCGAUGCAGCGGCGGACGGGUGAGUAACACGUAGGCAACCUACCCAUCACACGGGGAUAGCUCGGGGAAACCCGGGGUAAUACCCGAUACCUUUACUUACAGCAUGGUAAGUGAAGAAAGCGACUAAGCGGUGAUGGAUGGGCCUGCGGCCCAUUAGCUAGUUGGCGGGAUAACAGCCCACCAAGGCAACGAUGGGUAGCCGACCUGAGAGGGUGGCCGGCCACACUGGGACUGCGACACGGCCCAGACUCCUACGGGAGGCAGCAGUGGGGGAUAUUGCGCAAUGGGGGAAACCCUGACGCAGCGACGCCGCGUGAGCGAAGAAGGCCUUCGGGUUGUAAAGCUCAGUCAUCGGGGACGAAGAGGACGGUACCCGAGGAGGAAGCCCCGGCUAACUACGUGCCAGCAGCCGUGGUAAUACGUAGGGGGCGAGCGUUGUCCGGAAUUACUGGGUGUAAAGGGCGUGUAGGCGGUGAUGCAAGUUAUCGGUAAAAACCCGGGGCUCAACUCCGGGCUUGCCGAUAAAACUGCAUCACUUGAGUGCAGGAGAGGGAAGUGGAAUUCCCGGAGUAGCGGUGAAAUGCGUAGAUACCGGGAGGAACACCAGUGGCGAAGGCGGCUUCCUGGCCUGUAACUGACGCUGAGGCGCGAAAGCUGGGGGAGCGAACGGGAUUAGAUACCCCGGUAGUCCCAGCCGUAAACGAUGGUCACUAGGUGUGGGGUGUGGUCAAGCACUCCGUGCCGGAGCUAACGCAAUAAGUGACCCACCUGGGGAGUACGGCCGCAAGGUUGA
rnacentral:rRNA from 1 species